rnacentral:lncRNA from 1 species
GCACCAGCAAAAAUUAGAGGAGCAGUGAACCAACUCUUCCAAUUAACAACAUGUUUAGGAAUUUUGAUUGCUAACCUUGUGAAUUAUGGUACUGAGAAAAUUCACCCUUGGGGAUGGAGAUUAUCCCUAGGUUUAGCAACAGUUCCAGCAAUAUUCAUGUUCAUUGGAGGCAUUUUUUGUCCAGAAACACCAAACAGUCUCGUUGAACAAGGCCGAAUGGAUGAAGGAAGAGUAGUGUUGGAAAAGAUUAGAGGAACCAGAAAUGUUGAUGCUGAAUUUGAUGAUCUUAUUGAGGCUAGCAGAGAAGCAAAAUCUAUUAAGAAUCCAUUUCAGAAUCUCCUUUUGAGAAAGAAUAGACCUCAAUUCAUCAUUGGUGCAAUUUGUAUUCCAGCAUUUCAACAACUUACUGGAAACAACUCUAUUCUAUUCUAUGCUCCUGUUAUUUUCCAAACAAUUGGAUUUGGCUCUGGUGCAUCUCUAUAUUCAUCUGUUAUUACAAGUGUUGCUCUUGUUCUUGCUACACUCAUCUCAAUGGCUUUGGUUGACAAGUUUGGUAGGAGAGCUUUCUUUUUGGAAGCUGGUACUGAAAUGAUAAUAUGCAUGGUAAUUACAUCUUUCAUAUAUAUUAUUAAGAGUCAUGCUAAUUAAGUUGCUAUCUUCUGCGUCCCUUUAUGCACAAGUUAAAGAUCUAAAAAAAGAAUUAAAACAUAAAUUUUGUAUUGUAUAAAUAAGUUUUUAAGCUUUGUGGAUAUAGAAUGCAUAAUUUCCAAACUUAGGUUUCUACAUAUCUGGAUUCGUAGGCACAAGUUAGCAUUUCCCUAUUAUUAACCUACUUUAAAUAAACUUUUCUAAAAAUACUAGUUGCUUGGAUUGACAUGUUUUAGCUUAUCUACUCACAUAAACACUUGAAGAAUGUUUGGAAGAGUUUAUAAAAGCAACUAAUGUUAUAUUCAUAAGUUAUUUUCCAGCUUAUUUCCAUAAGCUCAUUAAGGAUAGCUUAUGAAAAAAACUUAUUUCUUUAUGAAAACAGUUUGACUUUAUUGUUAUAGAAAUAAUUUAUAAAUAAGCAUUUAUGCGAUAAACACUUCUGCUAUAAGUGUUUGCUGUUUAUGCAAGGAGAGCCUGAAAUGAAAAAUAAAACAUGACUGAUAUACACCACUCUUUUUGUUGCUAAUUUGAGAAUAUUUUUUGGUUGUUUUGAAUUUGCAGGUUGCCACAGCUAUAGUUUUGGCUACUUGUUUUGGAGAUGGAAAACAACUUUCAUUUGGAGUUGCAAUCUUUCUAGUUUUAGUGAUUUUCUUAUUUGUUUUGGCAUAUGGAAGAUCUUGGGGUCCCUUAGGGUGGUUGGUUCCUAGUGAACUUUUUCCAUUAGAGAUAAGGUCAUCUGCACAAAGUGUUGUGGUGUGUGUCAACAUGAUCUUCACCGCCAUUGUCGCACAGUUCUUCCUUGUGUCACUUUGCCACCUUAAAUACGGAAUCUUCUUGCUUUUUGGUGGAUUGAUUGUCCUUAUGAGCUGCUUUGUCUACUUCCUAUUGCCAGAAACCAAGCAAGUUCCAAUUGAAGAGAUUUAUCUUCUGUUUGAGAAUCAUUGGUUUUGGAAGAAUAUUGUCAAAGACGAAAACAAGGGGUCUGAAACACAAGCAUAAGUCGAAGUCUCGAAUGUUGUUCAUUCUGAAUUUGUUUUUUCAAAGACAAAUAAAUGUUAGCGGUUAAUAAAGUUAGGGGAUGGGAAAUUUUGUACGUAGGAAGGAUCAAAUCAUGUACCUCCAUAGUCAAUACUAGGCCACCUUCAGAGACUUUUUGCUUAUGAUUUUAUGAAGAGUUUUACAAUUUUCUUCAUGUGUUGAUACAUUUUAAUUUCAUUCUUAAGGACUUCAAUCUUACGGUUCUUUUAGAACAACAACAAUUACUUGAAAAUCCAUUUAACUAAUUCCCAAUGAUGCUUACCCGAUUUGGACAUAAACUUGCGAACUUGACUUACAACUUAUGCCAAAUCUAGUCUAGUGCAGACCAUAACAUACAUCAAACAACCAAUAACACUGACAUAAGGAACCUUUGACAUAUACUUAACUUCUGCAUCUAUCUUUGGACACUAAUCCAAUGAGAGCUUCAAGUGAUUCGCUAGUGGAGUACUCAUGGCCUUCAAAUUGCCCUUGUCAAAUCUAUCUAACUCCUUUUCAACAUAGUUUUUCUAAGAGGGCCAUAACUUUCUAGCACUCAUAUCCCUAUGAAUUUUCAUACUAAGAAUAUUCUUAGCAACACCCAAGUCCUUCAUGUCAAACUUCUUUCCUUCCCAGCAAGAUUUAAAGGAGUUUUAAUAAGCAUUUAAAAACAAUUUAUAGGAGUUUUAGAUGAUUUGCUCAUGGUUUUGAGGGAUAUUAUGUAAUGUUUUGAAUUAAAUUUUUGUUAUUAUAUAUCUUCCACAACCAGACAAUUCCAUAGGUGUGCACAUAUAAAUAUGCAUUCAUAACUUGAUGUUUUAAGGCAAAGGAAAGCUAUUGGAGCAUCAAAUAGGAUUCUCACACCUCCUCAAUUUUUUUUUAGAGUAUGUUUUGUUUUACGUUGGUUAUGCAUUUUGAUAUACCAUGAGUAAUUAAACACCUUUUGAUAUAUUAUGGUUCUAAGAUAAAACUCUAUUUAUUUGUUGAAAUUCAUUAAAAAUAUUUAUUUAUUUAGUGUUAUAUUUAAUUUCCAUACGUUUCGCACUUGGUUCUAUGACGGACUAGGAAGUGACACUUGUGCAAGUGUAAGUCCCUGCCUUGGGUGUGAGCGUAAGUCCCCACUUUGGUUGUCCUAGUGGUGUUGGCUUGAGACCUUGGAGUGUGAUCCUCCUUAAAGUCUCAUGUUCGAUUCUCCUUGGUGCCAAUUUGGGUGGAUUAGUUAAGCUUAUUAAAAAAAAAGUCCACAUUCGAGAAGCAAUCUGACAUUCUGACGCCUCCUGCAUCCGUGCAAGGAUAAGUCCCUUAAAUAGAGAUUGGGGAGCAUUAUGAUAUUAUGGAGUCAAUUGCAUGUGGUAGUGUAAGUCCAUACUCUAGGAAUCAUACUCAUGUUUGAUGCAUCCUACAACUGUGCACCUACAUUUCCCUUGAUUGAUGGGGAGCAACAUGAGUGGAGGGUUGAGACUCUUCAUUCUACAAGGUUAACCUCCAUUUAAUAGUAAUUAGGUCACAAUUGAUAGUAACUUGCAUUAAUCGAACAAAGAAAGUAAAUGAGAUUCGAAGAAUCCUAAUCGCUGCUAAAAUAUUGAAUCAACCCAAUUUGUUCACUUUUUGUACAAUCAAACAAAUUUUGCAAACUCUACCCAACACUACGACAUUUGUUGUCUCUAGAAACACUUUUUAGGCAACAUGUAAAAAUCGAUUCCUAUUUGGCAACGUUUUAUGGCUGUUGCCAGAAAUUGUGCUAUGUAAAAAUCAUUUUGUUUUUUGAAUGGUAUGUGUUUAUGUUUUAUCAAAACAUGCAUCAGUUUAUUAGAAUAAUAUCAGAGUUUUUAUGAGAUCAACAAUCGUGGUAUGCUUUCUUUGUUGUGUGUAUUUUGGAUCUAUGAACUAAAGUGUGAAGGAACAUGGUAAUGAUGACAUGGAUAGAAAUUGACUGCAAAUUUUUCUACAUAACCUGUAGUAUUUCAGUUGGGUAUAGGACCUUACGAGUUUGUAAAAUCAGUGUAUGUGCAGCUGCAAGGGAUUGAAGAUUGGCAAUAUGGGAGGAUUUAAGCGAUAUACUUGUGUUAUCUUUAUGCUCUUUGUGGAUUUUUAAUGUGGUGUUGGUGUUUGACAAUUUUGUAUAAAGUUGCAUAGAAAUUCAAAUGCACUUUUACUGUGUUAGUUUGAGCUACGUUGUUCGUUAAUUAUAACCUUUCAGAAACUUACCUUUUGAGUUAACUGGUGUGUUGUUGUUGAUAUGUGAUGGUUGAAUUUUGUAUCUUGUUCCUCAUCAUAAUCUUUUAUUUAUAUGUGUUGUUUAAGCAACUUUGAGAUAACUCAUCAUGAAAUUAUUUGUGUUUAACAAGCACCUUGUAAAGCUUAAAUUGACAAGAAUGAAAUUUUUUUAAAAAAAAAGUUAAAAGUCAUCAAGCAACGACUGAAAUGCUGCGAACUGUGUUUAUAUUUUUAUUUUUUAUAGGAUUAAUAGGUGUUUACCCCCCCUGUAAUAUAGGUUAUUUCUGGUUUUCCCCCUGUAAAAUAUUUUUUUUGAUUUACCCCAUGUAAAAUAUUUUUGUUUUGAUUUACCCCCCUAAUAGGCCAAAUAGAAAUGAAAAUUUCUUUAAAAAAAAAUAAAAUUGGUUUUUGUUUGGCCUAUUAGGGGGGUAAAUCAAAACAAAAAUAUUUUACAGGGGGUAAAUAAAAAAAAUACUUUACAGGGGGAAAACCAGAAAUGAUCUAUAUUACAGGGGAUAAAGAUCUUAGGCAACAUUUACUAACUGUUCCCAAAUAUGACAACAAUAAGAAACUGUCACCCUUAAGUUCUCUGGAAAAGCAUCCCCCCUCUUCCAUGCCUUUAAGCCACGCUUAAGUGUGCCUUAAAGAGUGAGAUAAACGUUGACAAAGACAAUAGGCAACACUCACAUAGAAGACGGGUGAAAACGAUUCCCUAUUCUUUUCAGCAACACUUUUCUGAGUUUUGUCAACUUCUAAAUUUUUGUUGGUGAGGCUAAAAGUUGUAGUGCAAUUUACUAUUUUUUAUAAUAAGUUUAGUAAAUUGUCAAUUUGAAAAACAAUAAUUUCUUUGAAGACCAUAUCUUACAACUCUAUUACUUGAACUAUUUGGUACACUUGUUAAAUUUGUCAUCAUAGUACCACUCAUUAAUUAAGUCAUAAUCUUGACAUUUACUUGUUUCAUUCAUUCCAUGUUGGUAUGUUUUAUCAUCAACACUAAUCCUUGAUAUAAUUUUCUCCAUAAUAUAUUUUUUUUAUUAUUACAUGCACAAAGCUUAAAAAACAAUUAUGAGAUUAGUUGCAUAGAGUUAAAUAAUCAUAUCUAUAAAAUUGACCCGAUAUAUAACAAAUUGACUACCUUUGCAAUAUGCAUCCCCCAUUUUUUUCUAAUACAUCUAUUUUCCUUUGUCAUCCAUGUUGUGGUCAAUGUUCAAACUUGAAAUAAUUAUUAAUUGUGUUCACUUAAUGGUGAGUGAGUAAAUUGUUCUCAAUUUAAUGAUCCUUCUUUUUUAUGUUCCUUCUUUUUCCACUAUUGAUAUGUACCUAAAUGAAGCUACUAUGUACUCUAUUGUCUACAUUUCAGUGAUAACGUGUAAUUAAAAAAAAAGAUAACUAUUUCCUUCCUACAAACUUAUUAAAGAAAACAGUUCAUACUAAAAGCUAUAAAAACUCAUUUUCUAACAAGCAAUUUUUGGUAUGUAUCACACGCCACAAACUACUAUUAUCAUAUUUUUUUAUGAAUUUAAUAAUUUUUUAAAAAUAUAUUUUUGCCCGCGCAACGGGCGGGUCUAAAUUUAGUUAACUAUAAAAUAUAAUAACUACAUAUUUAAACUUUGUUAACAUAAAUAUUUUUGUCAAAAUUUGAUUUCGAAAUAAUGCAAUCCAAAUACCAAAAUAUAUAAGACUCACAUGAAAGAAAAUUAACUCCAAGAGACUUUUAUGAAAUAGGAGAUGCGGAUUAAUGUUGACUUGUGAAGAAAUAAAAAAAAAACAGAGAAAAUAAAUAGAAAAGAAGAUGCAUGGAGACAAAAUUAUGGAUUUUUCAUAAAGAUAUCUAGAAAAAAUAGGACAAAGACCCGGCAACACAAAAAAGAUUCAGAAAACCAAUGGAUUCAACUUUUUUUUUUGGUGGUGACCAAUGGAUUCAACUUAUUUAAGGCAAAGAAUUAGUCAAAAUAAAUUUAUAAUUUUUUUUUCCCAAAUAUUCACACACCUAAUUUAGUUUAUUCUUAGUUAACUGUUGCUACACUCAGGCCUUCUUUCUUGUGCUUGAGUGGCUUGCAAAAUAGAAUUAUUAAUAGCCUUCCAAUGCCAUUUGCUAAAUCAAGCAAAUUUUGGGGAAUAAAUAAAAGAAAACCAAGUAGCACAUAGUAUUAACUUUGUCUCUUAUAGUUUUUAAAUCCUCAUUAGAGGUGGCACUCAUGACUGUUCUCUAAAUAUCCACUUUGAUUUUGUUUAACAACAUAGUUUGAAAAUAUUUCAACAAGAUAGUGUUUCUCAAUUGAAUUGAUUGUUUAGGAAAACAUUUCAAAAAGUUAGGGAAAAAUGGCAGGUGGAGCAUUUGCAGAUGGUAGCACCCUCAAGAGGGCUCAUCUUUAUGAGCAUAAGAUAACUGGUUAUCUCAUAUUUUCUUGCAUUAUUGGAGCACUUGGUGGGGCUCUAUUUGGAUAUGAUCUUGGUGUUUCAGGUGAGUUCAACUUAAUUGUUAAUCUCCUUAUUAUAAAAAACCAAUACAAAUUUUGAUUUUGCCAUUUAUAGGAAUAGGGAAUCAUUUUCAAAGAGAAAUUGAACAGUUUAUAUAACCUUAAUUGAUGAUUAUGCACAUAUUAGACCUGUGUACGUAUUUUAUCCCAAGUUAAAUAUAACUCAACUUUUUUUUCCCCUUUCAAAUGAACCCCUUAGGGAAAUUUUAGGAAGUAAUUUGAAAAUCAAUUUUUUAUUUUUUAUUGUAUUAACCACACUUUUCAAAGGAACACACUCUUGAUAAUUUAAUGUUCAGUCGGGAAUAAAUAAAGUUUGACAAAAGAUUGUUUUAGUUGAAAUUAAAAUUUGAGUUCUCUUGAACUAUUAUUCGUAAACUAAGGGUAUGAAAGUAUUGCUUGAUGUUCACAGGUGGUGUUACUUCCAUGGAUGAUUUCCUCGUAGAAUUCUUCCCACAUGUGUAUGCGAGGAAGCAUGAAAAACUUCAAGAAACAGAUUAUUGUAAAUAUGAUGAUCAAAUAUUGACACUAUUUACUUCAUCUCUCUACUUUGCGGCUCUUGUGUCCACAUUUGGCGCUUCAAGUCUAACAAAAAACAAAGGAAGGAGAGCAAGUAUCUUAGUUGGUUCUGUAAGCUUCUUUUGUGGAGCUAUUAUCAAUGCAGCUGCCAAGAAUAUAGCAAUGUUGAUCAUUGGACGUAUUCUUCUUGGAAUUGGUAUUGGAUUUGGAAACCAAGUAAGUUCAAUUUUAGAGUUUAAUAACUACAGACUACUGGAUUUUUCUUCCCACUAAUUUUACUUGCAUAGCAUGAUUUUUCUAAUUAUUACGGUGCAGGCUGUUCCUCUAUAUCUUUCAGAAAUGGCACCAGCAAAAAUUAGAGGAGCAGUGAACCAACUCUUCCAGUUAACAACAUGUUUAGGAAUUUUGAUUGCUAACCUUGUGAAUUAUGGUACUGAGAAAAUUCACCCUUGGGGAUGGAGAUUAUCCCUAGGUUUAGCAACAGUUCCAGCAAUAUUCAUGUUCAUUGGAGGCAUUUUUUGUCCAGAAACACCAAACAGUCUCGUUGAACAAGGC